UCGUCGCACGCGCCACUGUCGGCCGGGCGCUCAUUUCCGUUUUCGAAUCCGACGUCAUCCAACACCGAAAGCCCGUGUGUUUUGUGUUUCUUUGGGGCCACGAUGAUUAACGAUGAUUUAACAUUGAAGUUUUCGAAACUGAAAUUAGGUUCCUUCACGUCUUAAAAAACACAUUUCAAAAACAUACCACUAUAAAAAAGGGCAAAACAUCACUGGAAAACAGCAAAAAUAAUUAAAAGCAAAACAAAAGGACACCAUCGUUAAAGAGGAAGAAUUCAAACAAACUGUCUUUACUCGCAUUGGGAAUACAAGUAGAAUAAUUCUAAGAACAUGGGCAUUCAGGACUUGCAAACUUUCUUGGACAGCAACUGCGUGCAGGGGGGAUCCAUGCCUGUGGACUUGUUGAAGAUCGCGCGCCUAGUUGUCCAACGGCAACGUAAUCGUAUGAUUAAGGGGCAGCUGCAUAAUUCUGGGAAACUCAGAUUGGUUCUCGAUGGAGAAUGUUGUCUAGAUCGAUUGUAUGGUGGCUACUUCUCAGAUUGGGCAUGCGGUGGGCAAUGGAAUCGCAUGCUCCAAUUUUUAGCAGUCCUCAUACAAGCGACCGAGAUGUCAGGGUUGGAGCUAGCUGUAUUCUUUAAUGGUUCCUUCGAAUCUCUUCGGCGAGUCGACUGGGUACAGCAACAGCUGCAAGUGCGCGCUAAGGUUAACAAUGUCUUAAAACACAUAGCAACGAAAGGCACUCCACCGCCGAAAAUCUGGUGGACCCCUCCGCCGUGUUUAAGAACCAGCUUACGCAUGGCCCUCAGGCACCUGAAUGUCACAGUUUUAUGUAGCAUGGAUGACCAUCACCAAGAAGUCAUCGCGUAUUGUCGUGAGAGUAAUUACAAUGGACUGAUAGCUGACGACGCAGAGUACGCUGCAUUCGAUCCUCCGCGUUAUUUCUCAUCCGAACAAUUAAAACUUACGUACAAGGGUUCUCUCGACACGAAAGAAUACAUGCUUUCUGAACUCACUAAAACUCUCAACAUACCAUCCGACCGGCUUUGUAUACUGGCUGCCUUGCUUGGAAAUUACAUAUUGACCGAGAACGACUUGGCUGAUUUUUACAAGAAGCUGAACAUCAACACCAAUCACAACAAGACGAACGUCGAGCAAACGAUCAAGACAAUUGCUAAUUUCGUUAGGGAACUCCCGUCUGUGGAACUGGAUAGCGUUUCUCAAAAAGUCUUCGGUUCUAUCUCCGAUCCAAGGUCUUCGAAAUUGAGGCAGUCCGUUCAAUAUUAUUUAAAUGGGACGAAGGAAGGAUUUUUACACUAUAAACCUGUGAAACCGACGAAAGUUCAUAAAUUGGAUUCCAAAUCGAGCUCGCAGACUCAGUCGAACUUGUCCGACGUUCCAUCCGCCUCGGAAGGUGAUUCGAAUCUGGAGACGUCAAGGUUCGCCUCGGAGACUUUGGAGAGCGAACGCGAAAGCUUGAACGCGUAUAAGCAGGCAACGGCUAACGCGAAAGCGGCACCUCAGAUCAUAAUUGAUCCGCCUGGCAUUCAGGGUCAUGGAGAUGCCGACACUCUACGUGCGGAGGAAGAGCAAAGUGAUAUGCAGGCUAUAAUAAACGGUACUCACAAUCUCCUAAUAAGUUCGUCGAGUUCGAGCAGCAGCUCUUCCGCCACGUCGCCGUCCCACGCGACGGCCGAUUCCGCGAGGCAACCGGAGAAAACGACCAGUAUUCCCAGCACGUCGCCGGAGGUCAUGCGCACCGCCUCGGAGCGUCAUCAGAAAGGACUGAUGUCGCCGCACAUCUAUCAGAUUCUCAUUGCCGGCGAGAUCAAGCUGCCGGUCCUCCUAGAGGACGAGAACCAUCGCGAGUUCCCUUCCAUUCACGUGAUUUACAGACCGAUCCGGCAGAUGGUGUACGCAAUUCUGUUCAACCUUCAUCAUCGAAUGUACAUGGCUACGAAAAAUAAGGAAAAGGGUGACAGCGAAAAGGUCGAGGUGCCAGACGUGAUAAUAAAGGAAUGGGUGUGGUCCAAAUCCAAUCCAUAUCAGACUCCUGAAUUGGUAAAGGCGGAGCAGAUCGGUUGGGGCGUGCCCACGAUUCAACGCUUGUGGUUCGGCACAGUCAUAGAUGACAAACGACGCAGGCUCAGAGGAUUCCUGACUUGCAUGAGAUCGGACACGCCUCUCAUGUUAAAUACCUCAUACGUGCCGCAGCAUCUCCUAGUCAUGGCUUGUGUUCUGAGAUACAUCAUGUCCUUCUCUGAUAAAAUAAAGAUCUUGCGCCGACAGGAGUUAGACGCCUUCAUCGCACAAGCCUUUUCGCCGGAGCUCAUGAACGCUCAGUACUUGCAAGAUCUGCAGCUUCCAUUGGUGACCUCACGUGGCGUACAACUAGCCACCUUAUUCAUGGCCGGUGUGGAAACCGCAUUGCUGGCGAACGACGCUUGUGGUGCGCCGAUCCCAUGGUUAAUGUGUUGCCCUUGGCUUUAUUUCGACGGCAAGCUGUUCCAUCACACCUUGGCGCGUGCUACUAUCGCGAAAAAUUUAUUGGAAAUGUGCAGUGGUCAUAUCGAUCGUGUGGUGAAGGUUGAAAGAAUGAGGAAGGCAAUACUUGAGGGAAUUAAUGUUGCGUUCGCACGGCCGCCUUUACCUGUGACACCAGGUAUUCGUCUGUCCGUUCCUUCGAAUAUCUUACCCUCUGGCUGUACCAUCAACGACAGUCUGAUGCGCAGUCGUGGCAGCCCCGCAAUGCCGCAACGUGGCAUAAUGCGACGUCCUAUCCCAUCGCGUGGCGGCCAGCUGGAAAUCGCUGGAGUUGUAGUAGGCCAGUGGGGUCCGAAUUACGGGCAGCCCGGUCGGUUGCCGCAGCCCCUGCAGGGACACCCUCGCGGACGGAUCCCACCGCAGAUUUUAGGGAACAUUGAGGAUAUUGAGUAGUCCGCUUUCGCUAUUUAACGUCGCUAUGGUGUGGUCGGGAAGUACGUGCAUUUAGGAAGGACAUCACGUAAAUUAAUUGAACGCAGAGUAACUUCUAUCGGUGGGCUUAAAUACGGUCUUCCUCGUGGAUUCCAUCCAAUGACUCGACCGACGUUCCAAACCCGUGGAAAUAGCCGUGCUCCCAUCGCUGGACGUGGGAAGAAGACUCA
rnacentral:misc_RNA from 1 species